rnacentral:rRNA from 1 species
UACGUAGGGUGCAAGCGUUGUCCGGAAUUAUUGGGCGUAAAGAGCUUGUAGGCGGUUUGUCGCGUCUGCUGUGAAAUUUCGGGGCUCAACCCCGAACUUGCAGUGGGUACGGGCAGACUAGAGUGUGGUAGGGGAGACUGGAAUUCCUGGUGUAGCGGUGAAAUGCGCAGAUAUCAGGAGGAACACCGAUGGCGAAGGCAGGUCUCUGGGCCACUACUGACACUGAGAAGCGAAGGCAUGGGGAGCGAACGGG